CCGUCAUUCUGUGUCCAUCGUUGCCUGUUCGCCGUGUACGGAGCUGUGUCCUCUACAGUUUUAAGGACUGAUUGGUCGAAGUAUAACUGGCCAACGUGAGAAAUGGUGCCACCGCUGAUAGUAUUGUUUUUGAGUCGCGUUGCUCCGUGGUGAAUUAUUACUAAAAUGAGGUUUUAGUUGGUUAACUUUGUUGCGUUUCAAGGAGAUUUAGAUUCUUGAGGGGAAGGGGUCAAAUUUACUGUGUAGAUGAUUGGCACGUCCGGUGUAGUGACCCGGGACAAGAGAGAUAAACGAGGCUGUGCCGUUCUUAGCGGUUGGCUGGAUCCCCCGCAGGGCAUUGUUAUAAAUCUCGGAGGGAUUGCCGUCACCAUUUCCAGGAGCCACGACACCAGUGUAGACGCCCUAAGAUGCGGUAAAGAAGAGUCAUAUUUAGUGCAGGAAGAAAAAGUCUCAUUUUUAGUUACGGCGGUUCUCACAGUGGAAUUGCAGCCCCAUAACUCCACAAAUGCAUCUGGGACGGGUUGGCAGUUUGACACAUCUAUAACGUUGAUAUCAAGGUAGAGGACAAUGCCAGGCUCCACCUUACCACCUCGUCCUGAACGGAUAUCUUCACGGAUAAGUUCACCCCCAACCCCUAUUAAUACUCAGUAAGCUUCACUAUCCGCCAAAAGAGAAGCUGGAGAAACAAAAUAAAAUGAACUCUCACAAUAAGGCCCUUCAGUGACUUCGGGAUCCAGAACACAGCCAGCCUGACGGCCAAAAAUCUCUGCAUCAAGACUGCGAUCGCGGCGAGCGAGAGGGCUAUAUCCAACCUGUUCUCGAAGCUCAUUCAAGCGGGCAUGCCUUCUGUCGGCUUGGUGGCUGAUCCAACCACGCUUCUCGAGCUCGUUCGUGCAUUCGAAAACACCUCGUCUUGCAGGAUGUUCAAGAUGAUGUAGACGCCGGUGAACAUCUGGCUCGAGGGAUUCGCCAGGAUGAGCAAAGCUGCUGGUGGCUAGAAGAACAAGCACAAGUGCGAGGAAAAAGAUCUGCAUGGCGAAAUCUUCCGGGGGAGGUCGAACUGCCUCCGAAGGAAAUCUAGUGGCAAUCUCGAGUGGGCACCCCUAGCUCUAUAUGAGAUUCCUGGCCGGCCAUCUCAUGAGGCUAAUGGAGAUCAGCUGAGAUAUUCCAAUGAGUCGUGAAAGCUCGGAGUGACGAAGGUUCUGUGGGGGGGGGGCCAAAUCUCCAGGUAAGGGUGGUCAGGACAAGAAUAGCAAAGCAGUAAUCAAUAAUCUCAUUUGCUUUCGGACUUUGAAAGAUUUGAUCCAUGUCCGAUUCAGCGCUCGGCAGGCGAAUGUGAUGAUGGCAUUGGACAUCCGAUUUAAUAGUCGAAACUGCGGGGGUUUCAUCCGUAAUCUCCUCACUCUACACGAGAGCGUUGGCAAAACAAUUGCUUGGAUUUGCUUGGCUUGCAAGGCUAAGUUCAGAAAACUACAGAGUGAGUCGGUUACAUAUAUAAUUCCCUUCUCGGCAAGGAAGCGCAAAGGAAAGAAAUUGUAGAGAAACGACGAACCCCAAGAACUAGGCACCCUCCCUUCAAAAUGGCAGGAAAGCACAGCGUCUUGACAGCAUGGGAUUCGCGCCUGUUUGACGCUAGAACG
rnacentral:sRNA from 1 species